AGUGGGGAAUAUUGGACAAUGGGCGAAAGCCUGAUCCAGCAAUACCGCGUGUGUGAAGAAGGCCUGAGGGUUGUAAAGCACUUUCAAUAGGAAGGAAUACCUAUCGGCUAAUACCCGGUAGACUGACAUUACCUAUACAAGAAGCACCGGCUAACUCCGUGCCAGCAGCCGCGGUAAUACGGAGGGUGCAAGCGUUAAUCGGAAUUACUGGGCGUAAAGCGUGCGUAGGCGGUUGUUUAAGUCAGAUGUGAAAGCCCUGGGCUUAACCUGGGAACUGCAUUUGAUACUGGGCAACUAGAGUUUAGUAGAGGGGAGUGGAAUUUCAGGUGUAGCGGUGAAAUGCGUAGAGAUCUGAAGGAACACCAGUGGCGAAGGCGGCUCCCUGGACUAAAACUGACGCUGAGGUACGAAAGCGUGGGUAGCAAACAGGAUUAGAUACCCUGGUAGUCCACGCCGUAAACGAUGUCAACUAACUGUUGGGUUCUUAAAGAACUUAGUAGUGGAGCUAACGUAUUAAGUUGACCGCCUGGGGAGUACGGCCGCAAGGCUAAAACUCAAAUGAAUUGACGGGGGCCCGCACAAGCGGUGGAGCAUGUGGUUUAAUUCAUGCAACGCGAAGAACCUUACCUACCCUUGACAUCCAGAGAAUCUGUUAGAGAUAGCGGAGUGCCUUCGGGAACUCUGAGACAGGUGCUGCAUGGCUGUCGUCAGCUCGUGUUGUGAAAUGUUGGGUUAAGUCCCGUAACGAGCGCAACCCUUAUCCUUAGUUGCCAGCGGGUCAUGCCGGGAACUCUAGGGAGACUGCCGGUGAUAAACCGGAGGAAGGUGGGGACGACGUCAAGUCAUCAUGGCCCUUAUGGGUAGGGCUACACACGUGCUACAAUGGCCGGUACAGAGGGCUGCGAACUCGCGAGAGUAAGCGAAUCCCAAAAAGCCGGUCCCAGUCCGGAUCGCAGUCUGCAACUCGACUGCGUGAAGUCGGAAUCGCUAGUAAUCGCGGAUCAGAAUGCCGCGGUGAAUACGUUCCCGGGCCUUGUACACACCGCCCGUCACACCAUGGGAGUGGGUUGCAAAAGAAGUAGGUAGUUUAACCUUCGGGAGGGCGCUUACCACUUUGUGAUUCAUGACUGGGGUG
rnacentral:rRNA from 1 species